rnacentral:rRNA from 1 species
UACGUAGGUGGCGAGCGUUGUCCGGAUUUACUGGGCGUAAAGGGAGCGUAGGCGGACUUUCAAGUGAGAUGUGAAAUACUCGGGCUCAACUUGAGUGCUGCAUUUCAAACUGGAAGUCUAGAGUGCAGGAGAGGAGAAUGGAAUUCCUAGUGUAGCGGUGAAAUUCGUAGAGAUUAGGAAGAACACCAGUGGCGAAGGCGAUUCUCUGGACUGUAACUGACGCUGAGGCUCGAAAGCGUGGGGAGCAAACAGG